rnacentral:lncRNA from 1 species
CCUGCCCUGAGGGGCAGUGAGCUGCUGCGGGGAGGGCACAGCCCAGAGCCGUGUCCUGGGGGAAUCUGGUCUGGCCUCACAUGGCCAGCAGUGACCACCCCAGGGCGUGUGCCGGGGGAGAUGUUCACUGUUAAACUGGAGGCGCCUGUGCCAGGAGAAGCCUGAGGGAAGACUCUGUUCCUGGGAGAGGCUGAGGCUCCUGGGAGUGCCUGGAGGGGCCGUCCUGGGAGCAGGACAGCAAGGAUUGUCCAUGAGGGGCCAGGGUGGUGCUAGGACGGCUUGGGCUAUGCCUGGGAGCUGGGACCUGUCACUGGUGCCAUGUGUGGAGGAGCCCCUCAGCCUGGUGAGGGCUCAGGCCAGGACUCACCACGUUCCCAUUCCCGGCGGAACAGGCUCUGCGUGAGGCGGGAUGCUGCAGGACACACCGGGGCCCACUCGACCAACACUCUGAGGAGCAUUUCAAGUGCUUUUCCUAAAGCUGAAUUCUCUAUAAAGGAGAAGUGACUAGAAACCCUGAACUGAGUCCCAGGUCUCACUUAACUUUGUAAGGCACAGUGACACACUGAGGCUGCUCCACUUAAGGUAUGGUAUGAACCAGGAGCUGUGGAAUGAGUGUUCACAUGGAUCAUCCUGCCUGUGGAAUGAGUGUUCACAUGGAUCAUCCUGCUGCAGCUAUUCCCGAGCCAGCAGCUGCUGUGUAAGCAGAGCCCAAAAGACAAUCCUUGCCCCAGUGACUGUGUGGCAGAUAAGACAGACAAUGGGCACCAGGAAGGCCCCUGGCUAUCAGGGAAGGAUGGAUACUGUUCAGCCAGGAACGUGACACUUUGGGAACUGUUUGUGUCAGGACUCCCUGCUUUGACACCUUUGAUUUCUGAGACUGCCUCAUUUCAGGAAACCCCAAAGCUCCUCUCCACAAGGAUUUCCCCAUCCAGCAGCUCUUCACUGGAUACUGAAAUGAGAUGGAAGGGCUUGAAUGUUUCCUUGGCAAGAUGGGUGGAUGGCAUUAGUUUAAUCUGUUCUGAUUCUGGUUCUACCAAGUCAACUGGAUCCAAUCACCUCCUCUGCUAAAGGCUGCAGAGCAACAGUCUACUGGAAUAUUCUUUGUGCUGAAAACAGGAAGACAUGGAAUGAGGGUUUGUAACUUUUUUGGAUGACUUUCUAUGUUACAAUUUUUACCUUUAAUAUCACCACUUUAAAUAAGAAUAUUUAUUUGUUGAAAUAAACACAUUUUUUGCCCUGAAAUACUGGAAUAU